rnacentral:rRNA from 1 species
UACGAAGGGUGCAGGCGUUACUCGGAAUUACUGGGCGUAAAGCGUGCGUAGGUGGUCUGCUAAGUCUGAUGUGAAAGCCCUGGGCUCAACCUGGGAAUGGCAUUGGAAACUGGCGGGCUAGAGUGCGGUAGAGGGUAGUGGAAUUCCCGGUGUAGCAGUGAAAUGCGUAGAGAUCGGGAGGAACAUUCGUGGCGAAGGCGGCUACCUGGACCAGCACUGACACUGAGGCACGAAAGCGUGGGGAGCAAACAGG